rnacentral:rRNA from 1 species
UACGAAGGGGGCUAGCGUUGCUCGGAAUCACUGGGCGUAAAGGGUGCGUAGGCGGGUCUUUAAGUCAGGGGUGAAAUCCUGGAGCUCAACUCCAGAACUGCCUUUGAUACUGAAGAUCUUGAGUUCGGGAGAGGUCGAGUGGAACUGCGAGUGUAGAGGUGAAAUUCGUAGAUAUUCGCAAGAACACCAGUGGCGAAGGCGGCUCACUGGCCCGAUACUGACGCUGAGGCACGAAAGCGUGGGGAGCAAACAGGG